rnacentral:rRNA from 1 species
AGCGAACGUUUUGCGGCGGGCUUAACACAUGCAAGUCGAACGGGCUGUUCCUUCGGGGGCAGUCAGUGGCGCACGGGUGCGUAACACGUAGGUAAUCAACCCUCUGGUUGGGGAUAACACUUCGAAAGGAGUGCUAAUACCCGGUAUGGCGCAGCGGUCUUCGGAUCGCGGCGAGAAAGACCCGCAAGGGUUGCCAGAGGACGAGCCUGCGGCCCAUCAGCUAGUUGGCGAGGUAACGGCUCACCAAGGCGAAGACGGGUAGCUGGUCUGAGAGGAUGAUCAGCCACACUGGAACUGAGACACGGUCCAGACUCCUACGGGAGGCAGCAGUGGGGAAUAUUGCGCAAUGGGCGAAAGCCUGACGCAGCCACGCCGCGUGAGCGAUGAAGGCCUCGGUCGUAA